rnacentral:lncRNA from 1 species
CUUAGUUUGUCAUUGUUGGUCAAUUUGUCCUACUCUUUGGAACCCAAGGUCUCUUUGGCAGCGUCACAGAAUAUACAACCACACAGAAGCGAAUCUGACUGUCGUUUCCAUUGAUUUUGUGGUGACCGAAAUAUUUGACCUUGUGCACCAGUUACAGAAUAGACCUUGAUGUUCUAAGGAAUAGACCAUUCCAAAUUAGGUUAUCCACUUAUUUCGAAGCCGAUCAAAAAAAAAUGAAUAUAAAAAUAAUGUUAUUUAUUGUGUUCUCCGUUCUCUUGUUUGUGAAUGGUGAUGGUGGAAUGUUUGACUACCAAAAGGACGUUAAGUAUCCUCCUGAAUGGUUUACAGGACAGGAUUACUUAAAAUGAAGCUACGAAUUUAGGUUUUAUGAUUUAUAAAAUAUAAAAUUUAAUUAUUCAUCAUAAAGCGUAUAAAUAAAAAACUAAGUAUUUAA